AAAAAGUUCCGAUCCCAUUCACCAGAGAUGUCUCUCUCCGUUCGCUAGACAAUUCGUCGGAGCUAUUGCCUCUUCCUUUUCGGUUCUAUCACCAUCAAUUCGAUCGUCCACCAUCUCCGAUCAGUUACGGCCGCCGUCGGAUCUCCCUCGCCGGCCACCAUAGUAUCGACGCUCAUCACUACCAAUCGAACUUCGCUCCUGCUCUCUCUCUCUCUCUCUCUCUCUCUCUCUCUCGUCUAACGCAAUUGGAGAUACCUUUUAAUCUCGCGAUUUCACGGUCUGCAGGAGAAUUCCCAACACACUCUCUGAAGCUUGGUGCACGCGUGAGAGCCCGAGGAACUGGGCCAAUCAAGAACACACGUUCUGGACCAAUCUAGUGUCUUCGCCCGCGGUCGAAGCCAGUGGCUAGCUUCGUCUUCGUGAGAUUCUCGAAGUCCUUCGGCGCCUUCCGUUUCUUAGCUAACCAUUCGGAUCUCCCCAUGGUAGAUGCGGUCGAUUCAUCGAGACUCAAUCAUACGAUUGUUCUGUAUUGCCUUUUUGCCAAAAGCUGCAAAUUGUUAUCUCAAUUGUUGUCUAUUCAUUUGGUCUCUCAAAUUCGUCGAUUCCUCUCUAGCAAUUUUUAGCUGGGUUUCUCAUGUUAUAUUAUUCCUCGCCAAUUGACAGAAAUUCCCGUUGGUAUAAUACCUCACCUUCAUGCUCACCACCUCUUCGACGUUUUGCCUCGGAGAUGACUAUGGUGAAUUAAUUGAUCAAUUUGACAUUGCACAGGAG
rnacentral:lncRNA from 1 species